CGAGUGGGAACGUUCCUCUGCCGGAUUGUAGCUUUACUCGGGGCUCUGUGUGGAUACUGAUGUUGUCCUACCGGAUUAGGAGUUUUGUUUUAUUUGUAUUUUAUUUUAUCUUUUAAAAAAUAUAUUUAAUUUCAUUGCAUUGCAUUCCAUCGUUAUUUUUACCUUUCGAUGUUUGUUAACUGGCCUAAUAAUACGUAGAAAAUAACCUUUUCGAAGCAGCGAUCCUCUGUCUCUUAACUCCCCGCGCUCACUCCCAUAGGAUUUUGCCACGUAAAACGCUUUUUCUUUCUCCCUCCUUGUUCGUUACCUGCGGGGGAGCCCCGAGCGCGAUACAGACGCCGCCUUUCCCCCCACACGUACCGAUCCCCGCCCCUAAACGCCGCCGGCUCCACGCUUCCUUUCGGGUCGGGCCGAGCCCCGCGGGGCGCCUACCCCGGCACGGCUGUGCCCCCCGCAGCCCUGCUGCCGCCAGCUCCUCGUGGUCUCAACUCCGUGCCCAAAUCGCGUUCUUCUGACGUAACGUUUUCCAAUUGCCGUUCCGAGAGCAGUGGCACAAUUUGGCGACUCCGCUGCUGCUCGUCUUGAAGCGUCGGGAUCUCUGCCGGGGGCCGCCCGAUCCAUUCUGUAAAUUGAAGUCUCAUUCGAUGGAUGGGUAAAAAAAAAAAAAAAGAAAAGAAGAAGCGAAUAGAAGCAAACAAAAGCCGCCACAUUGCAGCGGGAGGAUCUCAGGGCUGGCUGAGAACACAUUAUUGAAAUAAUCAUAAUUAUAAUUAAGAAAUGUGGAUGCAGCGGAACACCCUCACACACCCUCACCCUUCCCCCUACCCCGCUCCCCCUUAUUUUGUACUCCUUUUCUCUUUCCUUCUCCCUUUAUCCCACCCAAAAGUACCGCCGGCCCCGCGCAGAUCCCCGCGCAAUGUCCGUCGUUCCCGUCCUGUCCCCGCAGCAGCGUUUGUCCGUUCGCUGCGCAAAGGAUCGGCGCUUUUCGAUUGCCUUAGGAAAACGCCGGUCUGCGUGUUACCGACGCAUCGAAUUUAUUGCUAAUUGCGACGACAUCGGGAUCGGAAAGUCCCAAAAGACGCUUAUGACCGGGAGGCUGCACUGUUGCCGUCCCAUCGCCACCGUCGGUGUGUUGUAAAGGGUCACAGAUGAGUGCAUUUGGAGGUGCGAACUGCUCUGUUUCAGUCCGGAUUGGAUGGACGCGAGUGCAGCCGGGCGUGCUUAGGGGCUGGCUUUGCGCACUGUCAUCAGUUCCUACGUUUAUCACAGUCGAUGAUAAAACUCAGGGAAGAAAUUAAAGCUUUAUCACAGCGGUGCCUGAGUAGGUGGGAGUCAUCCCGAUUGCUGUGCUUUUCAGCAUUCGUAACAUUGGCAGGGUGUAAACGGUUCUCCAACUCGGGAUGCCCAAUGGCUCUAUGGCUCUAAAUCCACGUGCUGGAAUCUGCACAGUGGCUAUUUCCAAGGCGAAAAAAAAAAAAAAAAAAAAAAAAAAAAAAAAGACGUUUGCAUCUUUGAUGAGCCCUGAAUAUAACAGCAUCAGCUGUGUACCGAAACACCUCCGGCAGUUUGUAAGCAGGACUGCAUCUGGGCUGAGCUACUGCAUCUACACUGAGCUGCUAUUCAGAAUGGCCAAACAGAAGCUGAGGCAUGCACAACUGCAAUAUCUAGCUGUGAAAUAAAGCAAUUUAAAAAUAAAAUUACAAGAAAAAAGCUUUUACUUAUUAGA